rnacentral:rRNA from 1 species
AUCAAUGGCCAUACCACCCUGAGUGCACCUGAUCUUGUCUGAUCUCAGAAGCUAAGCAGGGUCGGACCUGGUUAGUACUUGGAUGAGAGGAAUUCCACUUCAGUUAGCC